AGCUCCAAUAGCGUAUAUUAAAGUUGUUGCAGUUAAAAGCUCGUAGUUGGAUUUCUGAGCCUUGAGUUGUGGUCCGCCGCAAGGUGUGCACUGCAGUUGAGGCUCUUCUUCUUGAAGACUAGGCAUGUUCUUAACUGAGUGUGUUUAGGAUUCAAGACCUUUACUUUGAAAAAUUAGAGUGUUCAAAGCAGGCGUUCGCUUGAAUACAUUAGCAUGGAAUAAUGGAAUAGGACUAGGGUUCUAUUUUGUUGGUUUCUAGGACUUUAGUAAUGAUUAAUAGGGAUAGUUGGGGGCAUUAGUAUUUAAUUGUCAGAGGUGAAAUUCUUGGAUUUAUGAAAGACUAACUUCUGCGAAAGCAUUUGCCAAGGAUGUUUUCA
rnacentral:rRNA from 1 species